UUGUAAUUGCUACAACAACCUACCAUUACUAUUUACCAUUUGAUAAUACKGGAAUGAGACAAGAAAUUGAUCUCUAUUGUAGUAUUGUGUUUGCUGUUGACCAUUGUUAAGUAAAUUGAGUAAUAUUUAUUUUUUGUUCUGUCAGUAGUCCUCGGUAAUCUUUUUGAUCGUGUGAUAUGCUGGUACUUUAAUGAUGUCCGGAAUAAGAUCUUCAACUUCGAAAAUGUUGAAAAUCGUUGGUAGAAUAGAAAAACAUCAGUAAUAAAUAAUUGAAUAUUACAAAAUUUAUUCAAACAAUUUAUGACUAUCAAUAUGACUACUGAGAUCAAUGGGGACUUCAGCAUUAAUGAUAACCAUAUUAAAGUCCAAGCAGCUAAGCCAGCGCAAGCGAGUAAUAAAAAAAUGUUGACAUGGGACUAUGCUACAAUAAUUUAUAAAAAAUAAUUGAAAUGCUAUAAAUUCAGUGAAAAUACGAAAACCUUAUAUGAAAAUUGUACCAUUACAUUCUACGUUCAAUCAAAUUUCUAUAGAAAUUAGUAUUGUACUAGAGAAAAAAAUAGCCACAAGUUAUAUACCACAAUUAGCAUUAAUCUGGUUUAUAGAAAUUAU